CACCUUUAUGUCACUCACUGGGUCCCACAAAAAUCAAUUUGCAGAUCAGGUGUUCUGUGUUCAGAACGAUUACAAGCCUACCCGCGUUGUCUCUCUCUCUCCUCUUCACGCCCUUUCCACAACAAAACACUGUCCCCAACUUCACAAAACCCAAAAUGAAACACAAAUAUCAAACCUGUGUGCGCAAAAGCCCAGCAUCAUAAAUCGGAGUGAACUCUGGUUGGAAAAUACCCCAGUUCCUCUCAGCAUUUGGACCUGGCUUAAGGUUCUUGUUGGAAAAUACCACAGCAGCGUCUCAUGAUCUCACCUCCGAUCUUCAGCUCUCCAAACUCUCACUCCGCCAGUUGCGUUUCCGCCCCUCACUUCCCCGCCUCCACUGCGUUAGAUCCCUCCCUCAUCUCGAACUCCAGAAACCCACACGACAGAAUCCCAGAGUCCUAACUCUGAACACAACCCAGGUAUCCCACGUAGCUCAUCUUUCUCACCUUUAACUUGUAAACCCAUCGCGACACUGUGGGUUUGUUGAAGAGAAAUUUGGGAGCCCUCUGUUGCUAGUUGGUCCACCAGUGGGUUCAUGUCUUGUGUGUCCUUCACAAGAGUGCCUGAAGUUGUCUCUGAGGUUCAUCCAAUGGAGGGACAAUUGUGCCACUGGAUUACAGAGACACAUUCCUUUCACAUUAACAAACUCUGCUUUGGCAGUUCUUCUAUCCCAAUCACAGCUUGCAGGUCUGUUUAAUUUUUAAUUGUUUUGUCUUGAAAUUGGAAUGAGAGGUUAUUUAUCUCAAACAAGGGUGUUAUCUUUGGUGUUUACUGUAAUAGCAAAAAAGUUUGAAAUUAAAAAUUUAUUUGUAUGCAAUCAGGUCUACAUACUAGAAAUUGGUUUGAAGAGUUAUCUAACUAUUCUGUAAAUGGCAUCAAAGUAGGUAAUGGAACAUGGAAUGUGGGAGAUAUUGGUACUGAUUUCGCAUGUAAAUUAGUUAAUUUAUUCUAUUAUGCAGAGAAAAACACUUGACAUUGUUUAACAUAGUUCUUAAGAUCAUGAGUUACAACAUUAGAAAAACUCAAAUGUCUUUUAGGCUCUCAAAUAUUUAGUUGAGCUUAGCAAAAGUAGAUCAAGAUUUCAUUGACCAAAGUAGUCAAUACAAUCUGCACUAGUGUCAUCUCUUACUGCAUACAACUUGAUGAAAUUUUUUAGUAUGGUUAGCUAUGUGUUGAAUGACAGUGAAUAUGCCUUGUAGGGGUGGACGUUUCACCAUAAUGUUGGAGGCAAGUGCCAGUAGCUAUAACUCCAACUAUAGAGGGCAUGUGUAUGACAUGGAUUAGUGUGUGUUGCGGACAUCUUUGCAGCUCCAUAAUUUUGGUAGACGGUUUUAUGGCUGUAGACAUUGGAAGCCUAUAGGGCAGUGACGAACAUUGUAAGUUCUUUAAGUGGUUGGAUGGCAUCCCAUGUAGGCGUGGAGCUGAAACAGCACCGAUUGUCAUUGCGGAAUUUUCUAGGCUUGAGGCUGAGGCAGCUAUGGCAAAAAACAAUGAGAUGGAAGCUCGUGCAAUGAUAGCAAACCUACUCCACAGGGAAAGAGUAGCAAAAUACAGUGCUGAAAAAGCAAGGGUUUCCCUUUGUAUGGCCAAUGCGCGAGCACGUAAAUAUCAAAUUGCUCUACUUAUGUCAUGGUUGGCAGUUGUGGUGUUGUUUAUAUUUUCACUUGGUAAUAGGGAGGUUGGAUUAAGACAAAUGUGUCUGCCAUGAUUCUGAAUUUGGAUUAGUGGUUUGCAUAAUGAAAUUCUAUUAUGUGGUUGGCCAUGGAAAUGUAGUAGGUGUUGGGAGUGCCUUCUAGUGUAGGUGUUGGACCUGGCAACGUAUGUGUUGAAUGACAGACUUAUUGUAACCUUAUAUAUAACAUUGCUGUUUUGUAAUGGUAGCAUUCUUAUUUUUUGCCA